rnacentral:rRNA from 1 species
UACAGAGGUCCCGAGCGUUGUUCGGAUUCACUGGGCGUAAAGGGUGCGUAGGUGGUGAGGUAAGUCGGAUGUGAAAUCUCCGGGCUUAACCCGGAAACUGCAUUGGAAACUACCUUGCUAGAGGUUUUGAGGGGGGACUGGAAUUCUCGGUGUAGCAGUGAAAUGCGUAGAUAUCGAGAGGAACACCGGUGGCGAAGGCAAUCCCCUGGGCCUGCACUGACGCUCAUGCACGAAAGCGUGGGGAGCAAACAGG